rnacentral:misc_RNA from 1 species
AGCAUCAAGUACGUUGUGGAACCCAACAAUAUGGGCGGCAUGCGUCUGCCCAACGGCACUUGGACAGGCACCAUGAAAAUGUUAUUUGAAGAUGAAAUUGAUAUAACGUCGCUGAUGAUCCUUUCCCACGAGCGAUCUGAGGCAUUUGACUGGACGGAGUUCCUGUACCUGGAGGAACACACGGUUGGCUACAAGCGACCUGUGAUUGAGUCUGAUAUCACAGGCUUCUAUAAACCUUUCUCCGGUCAGGUGUGGUUGCUGGUGGCGGUAGUGGUGGUAGUAGUGCCUGUUAGCCACACGGUGCUCAGGUGGACGCACCGUCAGCUGCCUCGGCGUGAGCUGCACAGCAGCAAAGAAUCAAGUCAGCAGCAGCGUCUCAAUGUGGGCACUGACACACGGGACUCCAUCAUGUGGAUGCUAUCUGCCCUCCUGGCACAGUCUCUGCCCCUGACACCGCCGCGUGGAGUAGUGAGGAUCUUGACAGGGCUCUGGCUGCUGCUGGCCCUCAUCCUGGUCACUGUAUACAGGUCUAACCUCAAGGCAAUGUUAAUCCUCCCAAAAAUAAACCUUCCCUUUGACAACUUGGACCAGCUGACGCACACCGAAAUACCUGUCUGGGUGUCACUCAACUCAAUGCUUCAUGCUGCCGCUGUGAAUGGAGAGAAAAACUCCACCAUGGGACGCUUCAAUUCUCUUAUAAACAGUGUGGGAAAGCCUAACAAUGUAACUCAAGCAAUAGUGGAUCUGGUAGCAGGCCGCCAAGCCCUGGCUGCCCCUCGUUCCGCACUGGUUCAAAUAUUGCACUCGCUCUUCACAAUGACAGGAAAGUGUUCUACAUACCUUAUGUCAGAGAGCUUCCUCAAGACCAACAUCGGGUGCCUCAUUCUCCAAAAAUAUUCCCCCCUAAAGGACCAACUGGACCCUAUACUACGUAACUUGCGGGAGUUUGGGAUCUUAAAUCGGAUGUACCAUCGGGGAGUAGUAAAUGCUGAAGAGUGUCUCAAGUCCAUAUCAGCAAAAUUGGAUGACUCCUGGCGUGCCCUCAGUCUAGAAGAUUUCUACGGUGUUUUUUUAGUAUACUCUUGUGGAAUGGGAAUAGCAAGCAUCAUGUUCAUGGUAGAACUAACUCUGAGAAUACUGCCUAGCCUGCAUACAUCUCAUGCCUGAGUGACUCGUCAUCUGACCUGAUGCCUUACACUGGUGAUACUGCUAGAGUGACAGUUGGUUCCAAUGUUAUUCAAGUUUCAUCAGUCAUGACAGGAACUUCUGUCAGAAGGAUGUCUAACCUGGAAUAUAUAAUAGAUAGACUUCUUGAAGCCAUAAUUGUCUGUUAGUGAUUCACCUAACUUGUAUCACUGUAGACAGAGUAUCAUAACCAUGUGAGUUAUGGUAUGGAUGGCAUUAAUAAAAAUUAGCACUAUCA